rnacentral:rRNA from 1 species
AUUGAACGCUGGCGGCAUGCCUUACACAUGCAAGUCGAACGGCAGCAUGAUCUAGCUUGCUAGAUUGAUGGCGAGUGGCGAACGGGUGAGUAAUACAUCGGAACGUGCCCUGUAGUGGGGGAUAACUAGUCGAAAGAUUAGCUAAUACCGCAUACGACCUGAGGGUGAAAGUGGGGGACCGCAAGGCCUCAUGCUAUAGGAGCGGCCGAUGUCUGAUUAGCUAGUUGGUGAGGUAAAGGCUCGCCAAGGCGACGAUCAGUAGCUGGUCUGAGAGGACGAUCAGCCACACUGGGACUGAGACACGGCCCAGACUCCUACGGGAGGCAGCAGUGGGGAAUUUUGGACAAUGGGCGAAAGCCUGAUCCAGCAAUGCCGCGUGUGUGAAGAAGGCCUUCGGGUUGUAAAGCACUUUUGUCCGGAAAGAAAUGGCUCUGGUUAAUACCUGGGGUCGAUGACGGUACCGGAAGAAUAAGGACCGGCUAACUACGUG